rfam:Canis lupus familiaris chromosome 11, whole genome shotgun sequence.
GUGCUUACUUCUGCAGCAUAUCUACUCAUAUUGGGAUCUUAUAGAGAUUAACACGGCCCCUGCACAAGGAUGACAUGCAAAUUUUUGAAGCCUUUCAUAUAAAG